AAGUCGUAACAAGGUUUCCGUAGGUGAACCUGCGGAAGGAUCAUUAACGUGCCUUUAAAAAUUCUUGUCGACUGUGGACUUAAAAAACCCAAAUAAUUUCACAACAAAACCUUAAAAAAUUAUAUCCUAAUCAUAUUACAAAUUUAUUUUUGUAAAAAUGACGACUUUCAACGGUGGAUCUCUUGGCUCGU
rnacentral:misc_RNA from 1 species